GAUGAACGCUAGCGGUAUGCUUAACACAUGCAAGUCGAACGAGACCUUCGGGUCUAGUGGCGCACGGGUGCGUAACACGUGGGAAUUUGCCUCGGGGUAUGGAAUAACUCAGGGAAACUUGAGCUAAUACCAUAUAAUGUCUUCGGACCAAAGAUUUAUCGCCCUGAGAUAAGCCCGCGUAGGAUUAGCUAGUUGGUGGGGUAAAGGCUCACCAAGGCGACGAUCCUUAGCUGGUCUGAGAGGAUGAUCAGCCACACUGGGACUGAGACACGGCCCAGACUCCUACGGGAGGCAGCAGUGGGGAAUAUUGGACAGUGGGCGAAAGCCUGAUCCAGCAAUGCCGCGUGAGUGAUGAAGGCCU
rnacentral:rRNA from 1 species